UACGGGGGGGGGCAAGCGUUUGUUCGGAAUUACUGGGCGUAAAGGGCUCGUAGGUGGCCAACUAAGUCAGACGUGAAAUCCCUCGGCUUAACCGGGGAACUGCGUCUGAUACUGGUUGGCUUGAGUGUGGGAGAGGGAUGCGGAAUUCCAGGUGUAGCGGUGAAAUGCGUAGAUAUCUGGAGGAACACCGGUGGCGAAGGCGGCAUCCUGGACCACGACUGACGCUGAGGAGCGAAAGCCAGGGGAGCAAACGGG
rnacentral:rRNA from 1 species